UACAGAGGGGGCAAGCGUUGUUCGGAAUUACUGGGCGUAAAGGGCGCGUAGGCGGCCUUCUAAGUCGAACGUGAAAUCCCCGGGCUCAACCCGGGAACUGCGUCCGAUACUGGAAGGCUUGAAUCCGGGAGAGGGAUGCGGAAUUCCAGGUGUAGCGGUGGAAUGCGCAGAUAUCAGGAGGAACACCCGGUGGCGAAGGCGGGUCUCUGGGCCGAUACUGACGCUGAGGAGCGAAAGCGUGGGGAGCGAACAGG
rnacentral:rRNA from 1 species